UACGUAGGGUGCAAGCGUUAAUCGGAAUUACUGGGCGUAAAGCGUGCGCAGGCGGUCUUGCAAGUCUGUUGUGAAAGCCCCGGGCUUAACCUGGGAAUUGCGAUGGAGACUGCAAGGCUUGAAUCUGGCAGAGGGGGGUAGAAUUCCACGUGUAGCAGUGAAAUGCGUAGAGAUGUGGAGGAAUACCGAUGGCGAAGGCAGCCUCCUGGGAUAACACUGACGCUCAGGCACGAAAGCGUGGGGAGCAAACAGG
rnacentral:rRNA from 1 species